ACGGGUGAGUAACACGUGGGAAACUACCCUUUGGUGCGGAAUAACACAGAGAAAUUUGUGCUAAUACCGCAUGAGCUCUUCGGAGGAAAGAUUUAUCGCCAAAGGAUGUGCCCGCGUCCGAUUAGCUAGUUGGUGAGGUAAUGGCUCACCAAGGCGACGAUCGGUAGCUGGCCUGAGAGGAUGAUCAGCCACACUGGGACUGAGACACGGCCCAGACUCCUACGGGAGGCAGCAGUGGGGAAUAUUGGACAAUGGGCGCAAGCCUGAUCCAGCCAUGCCGCGUGAGUGAUGAAGGCCUUAGGGUUGUAAAGCUCUUUCGCCCGCGAGGAUAAUGACGGUAGCGGGAUAAGAAGCCCCGGCUAACUUCGUGCCAGCAGCCGCGGUAAUACGAAGGGGGCUAGCGUUGUUCGGAAUCACUGGGCGUAAAGCGCACGUAGGCGGACUUUUAAGUCAGAGGUGAAAGCCUGGAGCUCAACUUCAGAACUGCCUUUGAUACUGGAAGUCUUGAGUCCGGUAGAGGUGAGUGGAACUGCUAGU
rnacentral:rRNA from 1 species